GCAUAGCUCUGGCUGCUGGCGGGCGGUGGCGCUCUUUUCCGCCGCGCGCGGAGCCGUUGCGGCCGUUAGGCGGCUCGGUGCGGGCGGGCGAAGCGAGGGGGCUGGUGGAGACCGCGUCCUUUCAGUUCUUGCCCUUGGGACCCGCGCAGGUUCUUCCGCCCUCAAAGCCCUCCUGCCGCCCCCAGCAGACCCUGUGGAUGACUGGGACAGGAGCAUGGGAUGAACCCAGUGAGCUGUGAUGCUGAAGGAAAACUGAAGCAGGCCAAGAGCACACAGAAAUCAUGUGGAGAAGUAUGGUCAGUGAAAAUAUGACAUUUUCUUCAAAAUAAAGGUCUAGCCAGGACAGAGAGUCUGAACUCAAGAAAAGAGUGAAAGCUUGUAUGCAGAUGUACCACAUUUCCAGCCACCCUGGUUUUGGAUGAAGCUACAGCAAGCAUAGCCAAAUUAUGGGGCUGCUGAGUCCCUCCACACCAACUGCUUAUUCAGCUUUCCUGUGAAACAGCAGCGUUUAGCAGGAGCUGACAAUAUUUCCCACCUUGGAGCAUGUUUCCUUCUGAGCUCACAUCGGCUUCCAGAAUCACAGGGCUAGAUGAAUGCCAUGCAAAUAUGGGAUCCUUCUGUCCAUAUUUGGUGUGUUUGUCUUAGCAGCAAUGAAAGUAAGAUUUCCCUGAGAACACCGCAGAUGGUCACCCGGAGCCCCACUUGACCUCUCAAGUACAAGCUCUGGACUCAAAAGCAGGAAUUAGCAGACUUCAUCUUCUCCUUCACAACAGACUGUGAAGAGCUUCAGCAGGAGUUUGGCUUCAGGGAGAGGCAAUGUAUUGGGACACAUUGUAGAUGACACUUCAUGCAAGAAAACAUGGAGCUUUGGGUGGAAACUGGACUGUAACAGAAUAUGCCAUGUCAUAGCUGCCAACAUACCUAUGUGCUUCUCUCAUGAGAGUGUUGAUUGCUUCCCUGUCCACUGAUGUGCUGGGCCAUCAUCUGUCGUUGCACUCUGUUCACCUCAGCUGGACACAGGAGGGAGGCUGACCUCAGGAGCUUGAGUAGUGAUGCUGCUGUGGGUGCAAGCCAAGAAGUUCUCUGCUGUGGCUCCUUUGCUCUCCCACUGUUCCCGGACCUUCAACACUGUUUGAUCUGGAAGUGGACUGGACAAGGGUUUUGUGAUUUGGCCUUGUGACUCAGAGAGAUGAUGCCUUAAACACAAAGAAAAUUGAAAGAGUGAAGCCAUUUUUCCUCAAGACCUCACUCCUCACUCCCACAGCCAACCCUCCCAACAGAGGCACAUCCAUGGCUCUGAACUGUCUACCAGGUACCAUGUCAAAUACAGUAGGGAAGCAAUAAUGCUACUAAUAACAAUGCUGUGAGUCGGAGAGGCAAUGAAACUCUAAAUCUGGAAAUUGCAAGCCUUUUCCUGAUUGAAAUUGCAGUAAAACUGAAACUGCUGCAAUGGCAGUUUGUCAGGCGGCUACUGAAGCAACUAGAAGCUUUCAAACUGUGGUAAAUACGCUCUACGUCGCAAUUAUGUAGCAGACCAUGUCCUACCCUGAGCUGGUUUGCUAAACAAAAAGGGCCAGCUCCUCCACUGGUGUAAAACGGGGUAGCACUGCUGACUUGGGUGGUCAAGGACUUGACCCUGGGAUGAUUCUCUGGAGUCUUGCUAUGCAUCUUUUCAUAUAAUCUCAUGCCAUUUAGAGAUGAACCUGUAUUUUUACCUUCUGCUACAUAACUUAAUUGAUUUCUAUUUUUUCAAAUACUAUUUAUUCAUUCACAUUCUGUAUUUUGCUGACCAGUUAUAUGCAUGGCCAUAUUGUUGACUGCAGCAGUCUGGUGCAGUGCAAGAAAUUCCACAUCCUGUGAAAUGUUUAAUCUCCAUGAGUAACCUAGUCACUGUGGUAAAUGAAUACAUGAAUACAGUACAUCCAGGAGAGAUUAAACGUAUUGACCGGUGCCUCUAGUCACCAUACAAAUGUCAUUGGUUUUUAAUUUUUUAUUUCCCCCCCCUCCUUGUUUUCCCAACACAUUUUGGUUUCCUUUUUGCUUCUCCCCUUUUCCCUUAAGUAGAGAUGACACAGAUCAAUACCUUUGAUGGAAAGUAAUAAUCAGGCCUAUUAAGUGACAAAGGUUUACUCUGUAACAGCUGUGCUGGCGGGAGAGGAGAGCUUGUCUGACUAAUGAAUCAUGAAACAAUCAGGCAGUAGCCAUUUGUGUUUAGAUCUGUAAAUAUGGUGUGGUUCAAGUGCCAGACCAUCUCCAGCACUCCAGCUGGGGGCACAGAUGGUCCACAUUCAGAACAGCACAAGUGUAAAGAAAAGCUUCCCCCUCCCAGCCCCCCUCUUUCUCUGUCCCAUACUGCCCCUCUCAAAGGAACAGAUCAGCUAGCUUUAGGAUAAACUUGUUUUGUGGAAGGAGUUGUAACAUUGUCCUUUCAGACUGAGCAGUUCCCAGCAAAAUGCAUGUUCUCUUGCUUGUCCAAGCCAGGAAAACUCUCAAAUUCUAUGUGCUGUAUAAGUUACUUCUAUGUUUUGGAGUAAAAAUUCAGUUUUGUUCUUUGCUUUCUACCCGUUUGAUUUCUUCUUCAUGCUUUUAUCGACAGAUUUCCUUCUGAAAGGCAUGAUGAUGUCAACUUUUUAGCUCCUAAAGGACAAGUGAGUGGCAUGUCAGAAAUUCAAAGCUAAAGCGCAGGAGCACAGGCCCAGCAACAGAGGAAGAGAAAUAAAGUUGUCAGGGAAUUCAAGCUGUUUCUACUCUCUUGACUUUAGCUGAGGGUGCUGCCUCCAGUAGUGGUUGUUUAUCUAGCUUUUCCCUUUUCCCCUUACAGAAGGCUGGGCAUCCUAGCUGACAGAGUAUGCUUCUGAUUUUUUUUUUUUUUUUCAUUUGCCCCCUACCUAGAGGUGAUACAUACCAUGCUAAUGAUUGUCUUGAGUGCUUUGCCACCCGCAAAGGAUAACAGCAAGUCCAUUUACAUAAUAUAUGAAUUCAAUUUUGACAAGUUUCACUGUUUUAAAUAUUGACUUUAACGUGGUGAAUUAGGGACCUGCUUUUCUGCUCUUUUACCCUGAUGGAACUUCACAGAAACCAAAGAACAGGCAAAGGCAUAAUACAGAAACAUUAACAAUUUAAGGCCACAAAGAUCUUACUUUAAUUGGUGUGUGCUUUUGGAUACUUAAUUGCCCAUUGCAAGUAAGCAUACUAUACUAAAACAUUUAUUUUCUUUCACAGCAUGUAUGUGUGUUUGUAUGUCUAUGUGUGUGCAUUUAUAAAUAUAUGCAAUACAUUUGCCUUUUAUAAGUGCCUUAA